GGGGAUGUAGCUUAGAUGACAGAGUGCUCGCUUAGCAUGCGAGAGGUACGGGGAUCAAUACCAAUGUAAUCUCCA
rnacentral:tRNA from 1 species